rnacentral:rRNA from 1 species
AGAGUUUGAUCCUGGCUCAGAUUGAACGCUGGCGGCAGGCCUAACACAUGCAAGUCGAACGGUAACAGGAAACAGCUUGCUGUUUCGCUGACGAGUGGCGGACGGGUGAGUAAUGUCUGGGAAACUGCCUGAUGGAGGGGGAUAACUACUGGAAACGGUAGCUAAUACCGCAUAACGUCGCAAGACCAAAGAGGGGGACCCUCGGGCCUCUUGCCAUCGGAUGUGCCCAGAUGGGAUUAGCUUGUUGGUGGGGUAACGGCUCACCAAGGCGACGAUCCCUAGCUGGUCUGAGAGGAUGACCAGCCACACUGGAACUGAGACACGGUCCAGACUCCUACGGGAGGCAGCAGUGGGGAAUAUUGCACAAUGGGCGCAAGCCUGAUGCAGCCAUGCCGCGUGUAUGAAGAAGGCCUUCGGGUUGUAAAGUACUUUCAGCGGGGAGGAAGGGAGUAAAGUUAAUACCUUUGCUCAUUGACGUUACCCGCAGAAGAAGCACCGGCUAACUCCGUGCCAGCAGCCGCGGUAAUACGGAGGGUGCAAGCGUUAAUCGGAAUUACUGGGCGUAAAGCGCACGCAGGCGGUUUGUUAAGUCAGAUGUGAAAUCCCCGGGCUCAACCUGGGAACUGCAUCUGAUACUGGCAAGCUUGAGUCUCGUAGAGGGGGGUAGAAUUCCAGUGUAGCGGUGAAAUGCGUAGAGAUCUGGAGAAUACCGGUGGCGAAGCGGCCCCUGGACGAAGACUGACGCUCAGUGCGAAAGCGUGGGAGCAAACAGAUUAGAUACCCUGGU